CAUUGAUAUUCAAUAUAGGUAGCUUUUAAAAUCGCUAUGUGAGAGCCUUUUUAUACAUGUGACAUCCCGGAAAUCUCAUGCACUCAAGUUAAAACCCUGACAAAACAUGAUAGUAAUAAUAACAUGUCAAACUGUGACUGAAACAUUACAUACAAUUUUAUUGUUUUACAUAUAAUUUUUUUCCUUAUAUGGUAAUCUGAUUGCAAAAUUUCGUUUUUGGAAACUUUUUAUUAAAUGUUUUCACUGCGUUACAUAACUCGCUGUUCU